rnacentral:rRNA from 1 species
CCCUUAGAUGUUCUGGGCCGCACGCGCGCUACACUGACGAAUGCAACGAGCUUAUAACCUUGGCCGAAAGGUCUGGGUAAUCUCCAAAUUUCGUCGUGAUGGGGAUAGAUUAUUGCAAUUAUUAAUCUUCAACGAGGAAUGCCUAGUAAGCGCAAGUCAUCAGCUUGCGUUGAUUACGUCCCUGCCCUUUGUACACACCGUCCGUCGCUCCUACCGAUUGAAUGGUCCGGUGAAGCGUUCGGACCGUGGCCUUUGGACGGUUCGCCGUCUGUUGGCUGCGGGAAGUUCGUUAAACCUUAUCAUUUAGAGGAAGGAGAAGUCGUAACA